AUGCCUCCCCUCCACAUACUGCUCGGGCUUCUCCUCUUGCUCAAUCCUCCUCCUUGCUGCUCCUCUGCAGCUGCAAAUGGAGACAAGCUGACGGCAGGCCAAGCGCUCGCUGUUGGCAGCAAGCUCGUCUCCAGAAAUGGCAAGUUCGCCCUCGGCUUCUUCCAGCCAGCAGCUGCGGCGGGCAGCAUCAGUAAGUCGUCCCACAGCUGGUACCUCGGCAUAUGGUUCAAUAAGAUCCCGGUUUUCACCACCGUGUGGGUCGCUAAUAGGGAGGAGCCCAUCAUCCACCACAACCUUAACCUAACACAGCUCAAGAUAACAAGCGAUGGCAAUCUUGUCAUCGUAGGAGAUCUUUCCUAUCUUUCGAGAUCCACCCUACAAUAUGGGGUCAAAAGCCAAAAAAAUAAGCCUCGUGCUGCCCUUCUCUUGAACACCGGAAACCUCGCCCUCACAUCUCAACAUACGAUGUUGUGGCAGAGCUUUGACUACCCAACCGAUCUCUUGCUUCCUACCGCCAAGUUUGGCAGGAACAAGAUCACUGGUUUUAGCCACCAGCUCAUCUCAAAAAAGAGCCUCAUUGAUCCCGGUGUAGGCUCAUACAACAUUGAACUACAAGACACCAACGGAUUCAUUCUCAAGCGCCGCAACAACCCCUCAAUGGUGUAUUGGCGUUAUGCAUCCUCCACAAUAUCAUCGUUGAAUCUCUUACCAGUACUCAAGUCACUCCUAGAUUUGGAUCCUCGGACCAAAGGGUUAGUUGAUGAUGUAAAUUAUGUUGACAACAACCAAGAGGAGUACUAUAUGUACACUUUACGAGAUGAAUCAUCGCCUUCCGCAUUUGUCUUGCUAGAUAUCUCUGGCCAAAUAAAGUUGAACCUUUGGUCGCAAGCCAGCAAGUCUUGGCAAACCAUAUAUGCCCAACCUGACAAUCCUUGUGAUCCGCCUGCAACUUGUGGGCCUUUCACAAUAUGUAGCAGCAAGCCAAAUCAAUCAUGUGAUUGUAUGGAGAACUUCUCUCAGAAGUCACCAUAUGAUUGGGAGUUUGAUGAUCGAACUGGAGGAUGCAUUAGAAAUACACUGUUACAUUGGACUCAUGAGAGAAACACGACAAGUUCAACAGACAUAUUCCACCCCACUUCUCAAGUUCAAUAUCCGUACAACUCGCAAAGCAUACUCAAUACUACCACCCAAAGAAAAUGUGAAGAAGCUUGUCUCGGUUCCUGCUCCUGCACUGCUUAUUCCUAUAACAAUAGAAGAUGUUCUGUCUGGAAUGGGGAAUUACUUAAUGUAAUUCUAGCUGAAGGCAUUGAUAACACAGCAGAACAUGUCCUUUACCUUCGCCUUGCAGCCAAAUAUUUUCUACCAAGUUUGAGAAAAAACAAAAGAAAACCAAAUCUUAGAGUUGUUACUGCUGCAAGCAUUAUUGGUUUUGGAUUACUAAUGUUCACGCUAUUGCUACUGAUUUGGAGGAACAAAUUUAAGCGGCGUAGUCUUCUGUCAAUAAGCUAUGACAAUCAAGGGAGUGCUGGUGGGAUUAUAGCCUUUAGAUACACGGAUUUAGUUCAUGCUACUAAGAACUUCUCAGAAAAGCUGGGUGGAGGUGGUUUUGGUUGUGUAUACAAGGGAUUAUUAAGUGACUCAAAGACUAGUGUAGCAGUUAAAAGGCUUGAUGUUGCCCAUCAAGCAGGAGAGAAGUAA
rnacentral:rRNA from 1 species